AUAUUGCACAAUGGAGGGAACUCUGAUGCAGCAACGCCGCGUGAGUGAAGAAGGUUUUCGGAUCGUAAAACUCUGUCAUUGGGGAAGAAUAAAUGACGGUACCCAAUGAGGAAGCCCCGGCUAACUACGUGCCAGCAGCCGCGGUAAUACGUAGGGGGCGAGCGUUGUCCGGAAUUAUUGGGCGUAAAGGGUGCGUAGGCGGCUUCUUAAGUCAGAUGUGAAAGACCACAGCUUAACUGUGGGGUUGCAUUUGAAACUGGGGAGCUUGAGUUUCGGAGAGGGUAGUGGAAUUCCUAGUGUAGCGGUGAAAUGCGUAGAGAUUAGGAGGAACACCAGUGGCGAAGGCGACUACCUGGACUGAUACUGACACUGAGGUGCGAAAGCGUGGGGAGCAAACA
rnacentral:rRNA from 1 species